rnacentral:rRNA from 1 species
GAUGAACGCUGGCGGCGUGCCUAAUACAUGCAAGUCGAGCGAACGGACGAGAAGCUUGCUUCUCUGAUGUUAGCGGCGGACGGGUGAGUAACACGUGGAUAACCUACCUAUAAGACUGGGAUAACUUCGGGAAACCGUAGCUAAUACCGGAUAAUAUUUUGAACCGCAUGGUUCAAAGGUGAAAGACGGUCUUGCUGUCACUUAUAGAUGGAUCCGCGCUGCAUUAGCUAGUUGGUAAGGUAACGGCUUACCAAGGCAACGAUGCAUAGCCGACCUGAGAGGGUGAUCGGCCAAACUGGAACUGAGACACGGUCCAGACUCCUACGGGAGGCAGCAGUAGGGAAUCUUCCGCAAUGGGCGAAAGCAUGACGGAGCAACGCCGCGUGAGUGAUGAAGGUCUUCGGAUCGUAAAACUCUGUUAUUAGGGAAGAACAUAUGUGUAAGUAACUGUGCACAUCUUGACGGUACCUAAUCAGAAAGCCACGGCUAACUACGUG